rnacentral:rRNA from 1 species
CCAAUAGCGUAUAUUAAAGUUGUUGCAGUUAAAAAGCUCGUAGUUGAAUUUCGGGAUCAAGGAAUCGGUCAUGCCUUGGUAUGUACUGGUUUUAUUGGUUCUCACCUUCCAAAGAACCAUAAUGUCAUUUAUUUGAUGUUAUGGGGAAUUAGGACGGUUACCUUGAAAAAAUUAGAGUGUUUUAAACUGGCGCACGCCUGAAUACAUUAGCAUGGAAUAAUGAAAUAGGACGUUUGAUUCUAUUUUGUUGGUUUCUAGGAUCGAGGUAAUGAUUAAUAUGGAUAGUUGGGGGCAUUAGUAUUCAAUUGUCAGAGGUGAAAUUCUUGGAUUUAUUGAAGACUAACUACUGCGAAAGCAUUUGCCAAGGAUGUUUUCAUUAAUCAAGAACGAAAGUUAGGGGAUCGAAGACGAUCAGAUACCGUCGUAGUCUUAACCAUAAACUAUGCCGACUAGGGAUCGGAUGAUGUUAAUUUUUUAAUGACUCAUUCGGCGCCUUACG